GUAGGUGGCAAGCGUUGUCCGGAAUUAUUGGGCGUAAAGCGCGCGCAGGCGGUUCUCUAAGUCUGAUGUGAAAGCCCACGGCUCAACCGUGGAGGGUCAUUGGAAACUGGAGAACUUGAGUACAGAAGAGGAAAGCGGAAUUCCACGUGUAGCGGUGAAAUGCGUAGAGAUGUGGAGGAACACCAGUGGCGAAGGCGGCUUUCUGGUCUGUAACUGACGCUGAGGCGCGAAAGCGUGGGGGAGCGAACAGGAUUAGAUACCCUGGUAGUCCACGCCGUAAACGAUGAGUGCUAAGUGUUAGGGGGUUUCCGCCCCUUAGUGCUGCAGCUAACGCAUUAAGCACUCCGCCUGGGAGUACGGCCGCAAGGCUG
rnacentral:rRNA from 1 species